rnacentral:rRNA from 1 species
UACAGAGACUGCAAGCGUUAUUCGGAUUCACUGGGCGUAAAGGGUGCGCAGGUGGCCAAGUGUGUUAGGCGUGAAAGCCCGGGGCUUAACCCCGGAAUUGCACCUAAAAACUACUUGGCUAGAGCAUUUGGAGAGGGGGAGCAGAAAUUCACGGUGUAGCAGUGAAAUGCGUAGAUAUCGUGAGGAAUACCAGAGGCGAAGGCGCUCCCUGGACAAUUGCUGACACUCAGGCACGAAAAGCGUGGGGGGAGCAAAAAAGGGG